rnacentral:lncRNA from 1 species
UAGUGACAACCCAGUAGAACCGAAAAAAACCUCAUGGCAUAGUUCAUAUGUGAUUCAGUCUCUCUAUCAUGAGUCCUGACUAGAUGGCAGGUCAUGAAUAAAUUGUCAAAUCUCAUCAUCAGUCAUAUGAUAAAUUUAAUUAACUCAAGUUUAAUUAUGAUCUUCAUGAAAACUCUAUUUCAUCAAUCACACUGCUAUGGCCACAGGCUCUCAAAUUUUGCCUCUCAAAUCUCAUAGGAUUACUCUCUAUCAAAAUCAAUAGAUUCUAUCU